UACGGAGGGCUCCUUCCAGGUUUCCGUCUUCUUCCCCAAGUCCAUUGGGGCGGAGUACUCUAGGGCUCCAUUAGCUUAUCUAAACUCAAGGUUUUGGAUAUAAAAGAGACUCCCCAUGUCCUCUCUAGCAUCCAACUUGGAAAUCCCUUGAUUAGAGAUGGCGAAAUCAAGAUAUUUCCAUGGAGAAUUCUUGAGGUUGUUCAACCGAUCCGGCCGCGAAGUCUCGCGGGAGGCAAGUUCUUAUGGGGAGCCAUCAUCUAGGCAAGGAAAUGUUGAGCCCUAGUUCUUACUUAGAUCAAAGAGCAGGUCGGAAUGCCCAGUGUUUGAGUUUGUCACAGGAAGAGCCCAAGUGUUGAGUUCGGAGUGUGACAAGCCAUGACACAACGCGGAAUUGAUGUGGGGGAACUUAACAACAUUGUUGAUAUAGCAAAUCCAGCACAAGCUAUAGACAAAUGUCUAUUGGAAAAUUUGAUAAGUUGGUUCGACCUUGGAAAGUCUGAUACUCAGCUCUCAUGCAGGGAUUGUUACUGUAUCCUGCGAAAUUGGGUAUUCAUGGAAUCUAAAUAGAGACCCUUGUGAAGUAAGUACAUCUAUGUUUUAUAUGUCAACAUAUAUCUGUAUAUCUUUUGGGAGAGAAGAAAGAGAAUUCUGUAAACUAAUAUAUUCUUGUAAAUUUGUAUAUCAACAACUGAAAGGUUCAGCAAUUAACCUGUAUCCCAGUACAUCGUCAAACCUCCAAUCUUCCUAGAAUUUUACAUCUGUGAAAUAAAAGUAGGCCAUAUAAGUUUUCUACCACCUCCUUAAGCAUUUGAAGUAGUGCAUUUUCAUUGUAUUGGUUGCUUAACUAUGUCAUUUCAUCCAAAAAGACUAGUCAUAAGAUAUUAUUUAGAUUUUUUAAUUUUGAGUAUUCAAGAUUUUUUCAGGAAAUGAAUGAUAUAGGAUUAAAUAUAUAUCAACAUGGAUCCACUUCACAUACUCUCUCCGUUUAAAUCUCGACAUUUUUGUCAAGUUAAGUGUCCAAAUCUGUGUAUCUAUUUAUAAACACUAUGAUCGGUUCGUGGUCAGUUUUAAUGAAUCAGUGUUGCAGUAUUUUUUUAGUCUACAUAAAUUAUGGAUUGGAUCAAUUUUAAUAUCAUUUAUCAUAAUUUAAAAUCUCAUCCAAUAAUGCUAGCUAGAAGAUAUUAUUUAGUUUUUUUGGUUUUAUAUAAGUAUUUAAGAUUUUUUCAAUGAAUAAUCGAUGUAGGAUUAAAUACAUAUCCGCAUGAAUCUUUACAUGUAUUGAGCUUAGAAUAUAACUUAGAAUAUAGAAAUAAACUUUGAAGAUAUUUUAGAACUGAAUUUGUAAACCACUUGGAACUUAUUAAACGGUGUAUUGAUUAAUAAUAACAUAAAGUACAUCGGUGGAGUACACAUCUAGAAUGCUUUUGUUGUUCUUUGUUUUCUGCUUCCAAGUUCUUAGUUUCCAUUUUGUUUGGAGUGGUCCGCCACUGCCAGCACAUGACAAUCACUGCAACUACUGCUUCCACCGACACUGCCUGCAAUACAAACUACUUUGUCUGCAACUACUAAGAGAACAGUCUGACCCAGUUGCUCAAAAAACUUUUUUUAAAACACCCCUCCAUUUAUCCAACAAUUUACCUGGUCAAUUAUUCAAGUCUCUCUCCUUUCUGUCCACUAAAUCUUGUGGACUAGCCACCUAAUAAAUCUCUUCCAUGCGCAAAUAAGUACCCUCCUUUUUAUACUGAGAAUUCUAAAUCUCACUUGCCUUCUCCCCACCCAUUUCUCAUCACUUUCCCCUAUCUCUCUAUAAGUUAAAACUUAGAAGGUAGGAGAGGAACUCUCCUCAACGACAAGGAAUUAAAAUUAGCAUUUAUGCCCACUUCAUGACAUGAACUAUGGGUAUAUGAUAGCACUGAUAUAGUACAAGUGCAAGUGAUAAUUUCAUUUUUGGUGUAAGUUUGAUUCACUAUUGUGGUAUACUGUCAUUCAAACACGAUGGAGAGAGGUUAAUAUUACUCCCUCUUCAUGAGAUAUACACUCUUUUUGCUAUCCGUUGUGGAGAGAAUAAAAAGGAAGAACACCUCGGUAAAGCAAAAGUGUCCGGUAAAGCGAAAGUGCUCUACAAAAGUUCCCAGCUAUUCUGAAGAAGAAGCCAGGGCAAUCACACAAUUGAAAAUUAAAAGCAGAGAAACAACUCUUCACCAGCCAGUGAGUCUAAAAGUCACAUGAAGUUUGAGGUGCAUGCAAGGUAUCGCCUGAUUACCAACUAACAGACAUUAUCCAGACAAUGCUUGGUUGCCCAAAGGAUUCCCAAUUUUGGCUUCCUUACACAUGGUUCAAUAGGAUGGGUUGUAGAUAUGGUUAUCAACGAAUUAAAUUCAUGUUACUAGGCUAAUGUCAACUCUAAAUUUGGAUAUGAAAAUAGUAAAUGUAUCAUGUAAACUGGUUAAACUAAUCUCUAGCAACCACAGCUCCAAUCUUUCCUUAUGGGAUUUUCCUGGCUUGAGAGAAAAGUAGUUUUCCUAACCAUAAACGGUGUGCACAUAAAGUUUGCAUGACCAUUUUACUGUUGCAUGUUUUAAACUGCAGACGUCAGGUUGGGUCUUCCAACUCUCCCACCAACCUACAAGGUUUCAUAAAUGAUAAGCCACUUUCUUGCCUAAACUAACCUUGGCAAAUUACUCAGCACCAAUCAUCAGGCUGAAGUUAGACUGGGAGAGGUGAUAACAAAUGGUCCCAAACAUUGAUGGAUGGGCCAGGUCCUCACUCCUUAAUGGAUCAUUAAUGAAUAAGCCUUGUUCCACCCGUAGACUAGACUCAUGUGCUGUGGUUGUGCUCUGUUUGCAUGUCCUAUCAAGCAUGCCACUGCCAUGGAAAUCAUGGAACAUGUAAUCAGUCAUUCUGUCAUCAAAUGAUAUGACUGCAUUUCAAAGUACUAGUCAUGCUAGUUCAUAUCUGAGUAUAAAGAGUGAUGUUGGAUUCAGAGGCUGUCAAAUAUCACUAAAUGAAUGGUCAAAAUUCACUUACAAAUAAAAAAGUGGGACUAGUAAAUCUUUCACAUUGAUGGGUUUUAAUAUUAAUUAGUGAGCAACAAACACAUGUUAGACCUGAGCUUAGAUUGUAUUGUCAUGAUGGACUCAAACCAACCUAGUUUAUCAGUUUGUCUUAUUUUUUAUGAAGCAAAUGAAAGCCAGCAUGAUCAGAGAAUGGGUCAAGUUGCUAAGUAUUCAAAUGUUUCUGAAAAGUACAUAUUAGAUAAUUUUCUCCCUUGUGUAAAUUUUUCAUCCACAAUGGUUGAACAAUUUGGUUUUUAAGUCAAUGUUUUCCUUUAUAAAUUAAAAGGAUGGUAGUUGGAGCACCAUCAAACUUUUAAUUUUCAAUCAAAGGGAAGGUGCAAGGAUCCCUCAAAGCAAGAUACAAGGGAGAAAUGAGAUAAGAGAGUGGAUUCUAUUAUCUCAGAUGGUAAACACCCCUUCCAAACA